AAAGAAGUCUAAACCGGAGGUGGGGUUGCUCCGGCAAGACCCUCCGACGCUCAAGUCAGUUCUCUGCCUCAACGAGAAUGGAGUACUCGAACGGAGAAUUUAGCAGAGUUUUGAGGUAAAAAAUGAGAGCUUUUAGAAUAACGUAUCUGGGGUUUCCCUUUUAUAGACGGAGGGGGCAACAGAUUGAUAGCGACGCCUGUAACCGUCUGGUAGUGGGCCACCCAGAGUUAAGAGGAAUUUAUUGCGGAGG
rnacentral:lncRNA from 1 species